CGGGGUGCAGCAGUGGGGAAUAUUGCACAAUGGGCGCAAGCCUGAUGCAGCGACGCCGCGUGGGGGAUGACGGCCUUCGGGUUGUAAACUCCUUUCGCUAGGGACGAAGCUUUUUGUGACGGUACCUAGAUAAGAAGCACCGGCUAACUACGUGCCAGCAGCCGCGGUAAUACGUAGGGUGCGAGCGUUGUCCGGAAUUACUGGGCGUAAAGGGCUCGUAGGUGGUUUGUCGCGUCGUCUGUGAAAUUCCGGGGCUUAACUCCGGGCGUGCAGGCGAUACGGGCAUAACUUGAGUACUGUAGGGGUAACUGGAAUUCCUGGUGUAGCGGUGAAAUGCGCAGAUAUCAGGAGGAACACCGAUGGCGAAGGCAGGUUACUGGGCAGUUACUGACGCUGAGGAGCGAAAGCAUGGGUAGCGAACAGGAUUAGAUACCCGGGU
rnacentral:rRNA from 1 species